AAUAUCUGAAAAUGGAUGCGUAUUAGUUACACAUUUUGCAUCUCAUCUGAGAACAACAACAAACACGACAACGUUAAAGCCAGGAAUUCAUCAGUCUUAUUUACUUGGACUCUUGUUCAAGAAUUUUUUUCCCCUCAUUGUUAAUUUUUAGUGGUUUCUGUAGUUCAAACGAGUUGUCGCUGACGUGCGCUGCUCGCAUUAACAACAUGGCUGCCGAACACGAGGAACUACCGUAAUUCCCGGCCUACAAGCUCGACUUUUUUCAUAGCCGCUGUGUUAGCGCCGUCGCGUUAGCGUGAGCACAUCCACGCUAGCGUUAGCAUUGGGGCCGCCGUGUUAGCGUUAACACCGCCAGCACCGCCGCGUUAGCAUUUGCGCACCCGCGCUAGCGUUAAACUCUUUCUGUGUACCAAGGCUUAUCACCAGUUGCGCUCCGUAGGCCGGGAAUUGCGGUAGUUUAAUAAAUAAAGUGUCGCUAUAUUCGCAGCUUGACCAACCACUCGAGUGAUUUGGGCUCGGGACAGCAUGAGCGGAAUCCUCAUCCGGAGGUUUGUCACUGGAAGGCAAUCACAAGGUGCCAAACAUUUCCAAAUACAUAUUGCCCAUUUAUCCGCUGGCAGAGAAGUGAUUAUCAGCGUAUUGCAAAGUUUUGACUGGAGGUAUGGGCUACCAAAGCACAAAAGCAAAGCAAAAUUAUUUGUAUAGCGCAUUUCAUAUACAAGGGAACUCACUGUGCUUUACAUGAUCAAAUGCAUUCAAAUCCAUAAAAAAACAAUUGAAAAAGUACAAUUAAGACAGCUUUUAGUUGAAGAAAUAUUGAGAAGUGGAAGUACGUUAAAACGCAUGAGAAAAAAAAUUCCAGAAGGCGGUUCGAGAAGUGAUUUGUUCAAAAUCCGAAUCGAUAUUUCCCAUUACGAUGAAUGGAAAAAGAAAUAAUGCGUUCCAAGCCUUAAAAAUGGGCUUUUUAAACCAUUUUUUUACCUUUUCCUGAUAAUAAACUGCAUAGUAGAAAUACAUGUGUGUUUAAAUACUUAAUAUAAUGAAAUAAUUUGAGAAAAAUAUUUAUUUUUUACUUAAAACGUAUGCUUUAGUAGUAGAGUAGGCUAGGCUGGGAGUGCAUUGCCGUAUCUGUAGCGACUCGGCCGCCAGCCUUGUAAACCUUUUUAAUAAUGAUACAAUAAUGAGGGGAAAAAAAAGCAAAGACAUUUUAUUUAUUUUUACAAAAAGUAAAAAAAAAAACAAAAAAAAACUAACUCCUAACGCGUGUUAACAAAAUCUUUGAAACGAAACAAAAAUGCAGAAAUGCUAAUGGAACAGAGCAUUAUUAAAUUUCACAAGAAAAAAGCAAUGCAAAACUAUCAACUACCGUAAUUUCCGGCCUAUAAGCCGUUACUUUUUUUCACACACUUUCAACCCCGCGGCUUAUGCGGCUAAUUUGUGCAUUUUUUUUUUUCUGAACGGCCGCAAGGCUGCACUUGAGCGGAAAAGCUAAGAGCGAGACCAGUGGAAUAUAUGUCCCGAGGAAGUGACUUUUUCCGGGUAUGUUUUUUUUUUUUUUAACCGGCCCUGUUAGCGCUAUGCUAACGUGUUGCUGCUGUGUUACUGCCACGUCUGAUUUUUACCGAUAUAUAUAUAUAUAUUUUUUUAACCGGCCCUAAUAGCACCACGCUAGCAUUAGCACCGGUCAGUUGGUCGGGGGCGUUUGACUACUGGAUUUUCGUUUCAAAUCAGAAGCAAGAAAAAAAAAAAAAAUCUCAACAUUUUUGUUCGAUAACAGAGUAUUUGGUUAUACCGAAUACUAUAUAAUACUAUACUAUAUAAUAUCGGUUCGAGUACACCAACAUUUUGCCGAGGUUGCCUUGCCUCACCUGUGCAGGAGAAAUUCAAGAGCUGAAUUGGGUGCACAUUCGAAGUAUUUUAUUGAUUCCUUAAGAAAUGUAUUUAAAAUAAUAAAAAAAAAAAAGCGCACCCACCCCAUCUUAAAAUAAUACUAACAAAAAAAAACAACAUAUGAUUUCAAACUUCAUUUCUGUGGAUGUUGAGACGAGUUCAUGAUGGGAGAGAGAAAAAAAUAUUUGUUUCAAAGUUUGCUUGGUGCACGAGAAAUAAAGCAAAUCCCAGAAGAACAAAAAGCAGAACUUGGUUUGAAUAAUCGAAAUGUUAUCAUUUUCUUCAACAAAUCAAGGACAAACAAAGCAAUUACGAUCAGCGGAAUUUUGUGAGGGAGUUAAAAUAAAAAAUUAUUUGAAGGCCGUAUUGCCAUUGACUACGAAGAGGCUCUUCAUCUCACAGGUGCAGCUGACAUUUGAGGAAGAUCAAUAUGUAGCCGUGUGGGGAUCGUGGUGGGUGGCAAAGGUGGUGUGGUAGCCGAGUGUGCUUGUUGUGGGGUGGCGCUCGUCACUCUUCGCUUUCAACUAACACCGCCGGCGGGCAUUUAGGCGAAAAGUCUUAGUCUUACUCUGCCAGUCCAUAACCUCCCCACCGCAAAACUUGCGCUUCAGUGGGUCCACCGCACUGCCACCUAAGCAACUGAGUGGCUCGCAGACUAACGAAGAACUGGCGAGAACAGUCUUCCUCUCGAACACCCACUGCCCUCGUGUCUUCCCUCACAACCUCCAUCAACCUUCUCUUUGGGCUUCCUCUCGCUCUCUUCCUUGGCAGCUCCAUCCUCAUCACCCUUCUAACAAUAUACUCAGUCUCUCACCUCUGGACACGUCCAAACCAUCGAAGUCUGCUCUCUCGAACCUUGUCUCCAAAAUGUCCAACUUUGGCUGUCCCUUUAAUGAGCUCAUUUCUAAUCCUAUCCAUCCUGCUCAGUCCGAGCGAGAACCUCAACAUCUUCAUUUCUGCUACUUCCAGUUCUGCUUCCUGUUGUUUCUUCAGGCCCACCGUCUCUAAUCCGUACACCAUGGCCGGCCUCACCACCGUUUUAUAAACUUUGCCCUUCAUCCUAGCUAAGACUCUUCUGUCACAUAGGACAUCAGACACCUUCCGCCAACUGUUCCACCCCGCUUGGACCCGUUUCUUCACUUCCUUACCACACUCACCAUUGCUCUGGCUUGUUGACCCCAAGUAUUUGAAGUCGUCCACCCUCGCUAUCUCUUCUCCCUGGAGCUUCGCUCUUCCCCCACCGCCCCUCUCAUUCAGGCAGAUAUACUCUUUUUUGAGUUCAGCUAAUCUUCAUUUCUCUCCUUUCCAGUGCAUGCCUCCAUCCUUCUAAUUGUUCCUCCACCCGCUCUCUGCUUUUACUGCAGAUCACAAUAUCAUCUGCGAGCAUCAUGGUGCAAGGGGAUUCCAGUCUAACCUCAUCUGUCAGCCUACCGCAAACAGGAAGGGGCUCAACACAGAUCCCUGUCCCACUUCUACCUGAAAUUCUUCUGUCACACCUACGGCACAUCUCACCGCUGUUCUGCUGCCCUCAUACAUGUCCUGUACUAUUCUAUAUAACAUAUUUCUCCAGCACACCAGACUUGCGCAUGCACUACCACAGUUCCUCUCUUGGUACUCUGUCAUGGUCUUUCUCUAGAUCCACAAAGACACAAUGUAGCUCCUUCUGACAUUCCCUGUACUUUUCCACUAGCAUUCUCAAGGCAAAUAAUGCAUCUGUGGUACUCUUUGUAGGCAUGAGACCAUGCUCGCAGAUACUGACUUCUGACCCGAGUCUAGCCUCUACUACUACUCUUUCCCAUAACUUCAUUGUGUGGCUAAUUGACUUUAUUCCUCUAUAGUUUCCGUAGCUCUGAACAUCCCCUUUGUUCUUAAAAAUGGGAACUCGCCCCCUUUUCCUCCAUUCCUCUGGCAUCUUCUCGCCCGCUAGUAUCCUCUUGAACAGCCGCCCCACCGAAUUCCAUAUAUGAAAAUUACAAAUCUGCAGAAUGAUACUUUGCAGAUUUCUUGUAUUGUGCGUGGGUUUUGUUGACUGCAACCUCUGUGAAAAACGAGGAUUAAUCACACAAAUCAAAAGAAUAAUUAAAAUAAGCAGCAGAGAGUGUCAUAAUGCCAGUGAUGGAUGAUGCUGACUGUUGAUAUGAAAUGCUUUUUUUGUCUCAUUCAAUCAAUCAUUCACCCCAAAGUAAAAAAAAAAAAAAAAAAAAAAUAGAACUGUCUGCGUGCCUGUUCAUUCCACGGAGGGGAUGAUGACUUCAUCAAGUGCAGUCUGCCAACGUGUCGCCCAGAGCGGCUCGGAAACAUCGCCGGCGAUACGCUGCCUUGCCCUCCGCAUCAAAGCGCUCGAUUUAAAGGACGAAAAACCCUAAUGAAUAUCGGAUGGAAGCGGCGCUCGUCUGCCAGAAAUUGUCGUUCCGACUUCUUUUUAUUUUCCUCCCGCACUUGAAAUACAAUCAAACGGAUCUCCGCUGACCUUUGCGCAAAUCCCUCAAGGACUUUUUCCUUUGCGUGCGCGCCGGCGACUCAAGAGGAACGAAAGACGAGAAGAAAAGACAAACGGAGAUUUUGAAUCGACGCCUCCUCCGUGAAGAGUGAAUCACUUCAUGCAAUUGUGAUGUUUUCUCAAAUUGCAUAAUUCAUUAUAAUCUGAACAGAUGAAAGAGGAAGAAUCCUUUUUCCAUAUUCCCCCCCCCCCCCCCAAAUAAAUGCUCAUGAACGCGCACGGAGGCUUGUUUGCAUCCCAGGAAUGUAUUUGCGCUGAGGCCAAAGCCGCGCGUACGAAACCAGGAACCUUUCGAAAUGCAUUUGAGGAGCUCUGAAGUCACAACAGCGCCGAGUAUAUUUUCUUAGCAGAUAAGCAAAAAAGCAAGCAGAUUGUUUUGCUAGCCGACGAGGAAAACGGCCAGAUGAACUCUUCACUCGCGAAGAAUGCCGGCAGGUCUCGGCGCAGUGCUCGACGGCGGGUCUCCGGCCCGACUGGGUUUGUUGAGUGCGAUCUUAUUGUUAAACACUGACCCUGGCCCUUGGCGAUAUUUUGGGGUUGAUGGAGCACAGCAGGCGCAAACUGAGCGCCGGGUGAGGAAGUACGGAGCGAGGGGAGGUGGGGCGCUCAAUAUAUCUCCGGGGUUAUCUAAUAGUUCCGGCAGGAGCGAUGAAAACCCUGGCAAAGCCGUUCGUCACCUGUGCGCUAAACAAUGCUAGCAUGUCAUUUAGCAUGUUGGUCCAGUUCAUCCAUGAGAGGACAAUUCCAAUGCCAGUGCUUUUAUUCCCUCAAUAUAUUCCAUAAUUUCCGUCCGACAAGCCGCGACUUUUUCCACACGCUUUCAACCCUACGGUUUAUGCGGUGAUGCGGCUAAUUUGUGCGUUUUUUUCUAACGGCCGCAAGGGGUUACUCGAGCGGAAAAGGAAAGAGUGAAACCGGUGGAAUAUAUGUGCAGAGGAAGUGACUUUUAGCGGCCCUUUUAGCGCUGCGCUAGUGUUAGUGCUGUGGUACCGUGUUGCUGCUAUGUUACUGGCAUGUCUCAGUGUUAUUUACCGGUAAGUUUUAUUUUAACCGGCCCUGUUAGCGUUUGCGCUAGCGGUGUUAGCGUUAGAACUAGCAUUAAACUCUUUCUGUGUACAGUCUUUGUUUAUAAAUAUCUAUCUAGCCAACUAUCUAGCGCUGUCCUAGCGUGUUGCUGCUGUGUUACUCGCGUGCCUCAGUUUACUGGUAAGUUUUAUUUUAACCGGCCCGUUAGUGCUAGCACCGCGCUAACGUUGAACUCUUUCUGUGUACCGCCUUUCUCGUGUUUGAAUGUGCUUUUCAAUGUUUUCGAACAAAUCUGUUUUCAGAACGAAAAUUUUGAGAUAGUUUUUGCUUCUGUUAUUGAAUGAAAAUCGGUACCCCCAACAAAACCCGGAAAUAACAUAUUGCGCGCCACCAGACCAGCUGACCCACGACGCGCCAUUCCCAUGCCCCGAAAAAAAAAAACCUGGAAAUAACAUAAUGUGGCAAUUUAUGAGUGUCCAAUUAAUGUUGCAUGUUUUCGGGAUGUGGGAGGAAACCGGACCGCCCGGAGAAAACCCACGCAGGUACGGGGAGAACAUGCAAACUCCGCACAGGCAGGUCCGGGAUUGAACCCGGGACCUCGGAACUGUGAGGCCAACGCUUUACCAGCCUGCAGGCGUGUCACAUUCGGAGAACACGUUAUUAUAUUUCACGCUCGGACAAUCUGGCCUGCAAUGUCAGUGAGGCCCCGAAGCGCUGGAGACAGCAGAAGAUCCGAAAGUGGUACGCGCCAACUCAAAGGGACGCCCGAUGUGCUCGAGGAGGCCGCUCGCCUUGACACGCCCACCCCCUCGGAACUUUCACACCUCCCUCCUGAAUCUCUCGGCGGUACCGGUGCUGUGCUGUCCGAGGUCACGCUCCACCUUGAAGUGAAGUCGCCUCGCACUUUUUGGGAAUCACGUUUUAGCCCAUUAACUGCAGCUCAAAUCACCUCCGCUUUACACGGCUGCCAAGUGCAGCGUAAUCUUAGAUUGAUUUCCUGCCUUCCGGGCAGCCACCUGUUUCUGCUCAUUUUCGUAUAUUUGGAAAGCGACUUGCGGAGACUUAAACCAGCUUGAACUGGGUAAUCCAUCACGGCCCGCGUUUAAGUUCCAUUUUGUCUUUCGAUGCGGUUGCACGCAGGGACUUUUUUUUUUUUUUAUGUUGAUAUUCUCAGUGUGGUGACAUUCAGAUUAAUGAGCUGGACGGCAUUGAGUCUUUACACCCUCGUAACCAUGGAAAUAAACAAAUCAUGUUGA